GGGCACCACAAGAACGCGUGGAGCAUGUGGCUUAAUUUGACUCAACGCGGGAAAUCUUACCGGGUCCGGACACACUGAGGAUUGACAGGCAAUAUUAAUACUUUGCUUCGGCAUUGUAUUAUGUUAAAUAUGCUAGUCCUUUCAUGAUUAUGUGAUAGGUGGUGCAUGGCCGUUCUUAGUUCGUGGAGUGAUCUGUCUGCUUAAUUGCGUUUCACUAAGGGCCUAUAAAUUUACGUAUGUUGUAUCGCACUUUGACCCCUUUCUUUAAUUAGAAAGCGCGUGUCUUAGUUUCGCUUUGCUCAUACAAUUAGGUCCUGAAAGCAACGAACGUGACCGCAACCUCUUGUUGCCUUUAUACCAAACAUGUUUAUUCAUUUUUUAAUGUUCAUUCAUGAAAAAAGGCUUUUUAAACUAGAGGGACCGCUGUUACUUUCUUAAACCAGAGGAAGGUUGCGGCAAUAACAGGUCUGUGAUGCCCUUAGAUGUUCCGGGCUGCACACGUGCUACAAUGAUUAUUGCAGUGAGCAUCUCAUUUUUACACACCGCAUGCGCGAGUCCAUUUAUUCACCUUCGGGUGUUUUAAAUGUGUACCUCUGCGCGCGGUAAAGCCUGCUUCGAAAGUAAGUGGGUAAUCAAUUAGAAGUAAUGAUUUCCUUUUUUAGCACACAUAUAUACGGCGUCUAUGCCCGGGUUACCUUGUUGUAGCUUUUGUGUGUAUAG
rnacentral:rRNA from 1 species